CCUACGGGUGGCAGCAGUGAGGAAUAUUGGUCAAUGGACGAGAGUCUGAACCAGCCAAGUAGCGUGAAGGAUGACUGCCCUAUGGGUUGUAAACUUCUUUUAUAUGGGAAUAAAAUGCUCCACGUGUGGGAUUUUGUAUGUACUAUAUGAAUAAGGAUCGGCUAACUCCGUGCCAGCAGCCGCGGUAAUACGGAGGAUCCGAGCGUUAUCCGGAUUUAUUGGGUUUAAAGGGAGCGUAGGUGGCUUGUUAAGUCAGUUGUGAAAGUUUGCGGCUCAACCGUAAAAUUGCAGUUGAAACUGGCAGUCUUGAGUACAGUAGAGGUGGGCGGAAUUCGUGGUGUAGCGGUGAAAUGCUUAGAUAUCACGAAGAACUCCGAUUGCGAAGGCAGUUCACUGGACUGCAACUGACACUGAGGCUCGAAAGUGUGGGUAUCAAACAGGAUUAGAUACCACAGUAGUC
rnacentral:rRNA from 1 species